rnacentral:rRNA from 1 species
AGGGAAUAUUGGACAAUGGGCGCAAGCCUGAUCCAGCCAUGCCGCGUGAGUGAAGAAGGCCCUCGGGUUGUAAAGCUCUUUUGUCCGGAAAGAAAAGCAUCGGGUUAAUACCCCGGUGUUCUGACGGUACCGGAAGAAUAAGCACCGGCUAACUUCGUGCCAGCAGCCGCGGUAAUACGAAGGGUGCAAGCGUUACUCGGAAUUACUGGGCGUAAAGCGUGCGUAGGUGGUUCGUUAAGUCUGAUGUGAAAGCCCUGGGCUCAACCUGGGAAUGGCAUUGGAAACUGGCGGACUGGAGGGCGGUAGAGGGUAGCGGAAUUCCCGGUGUAGCAGUGAAAUGCGUAGAGAUCGGGAGGAACAGCUGUGGCGAAGGCGGCUACCUGGACCAGCACUGACACUGAGGCACGAAAGCGUGGGGAGCAAACA